UACGGAGGGGACUAGCGUUGUUCGGAAUUACUGGGCGUAAAGCGCACGUAGGCGGAUUUGUAAGUCAGGGGUGAAAUCCCGGGGCUCAACCCCGGAACUGCCUUUGAUACUGCGAAUCUCGAGUCCGGAAGAGGUAAGUGGAAUUCCGAGUGUAGAGGUGAAAUUCGUAGAUAUUCGGAAGAACACCAGUGGCGAAGGCGACUUACUGGACACAUAUUGACGCUGAGGUGCGAAAGCGUGGGGAGCAAACAGG
rnacentral:rRNA from 1 species